CCUCAGCUCUAUCUUUUGAUUUCGAAUUAUUUCUUCGUCUCCUUCACUGAUUUUCAACAACAACCGUCAAAUCGAUGCUUUCCUGAUAAAUCUGUGUCCGAUUAAUAAUUUUCAUCGUUCCAUCAUACAAUAGUUCUCUCUAUCUCUUCAUCACUAUCUGUUUUUGUCACGGCUAAGAAACAAAAUAAUCCAGGAAAGAUCAAAAUUAUCCAGGAGAUUGAAGAACAUGGCAGGAUUAAGGUAAUCAAUGAAGCCAAUUAUACCCUUGCAUAGCUUUGUCGGAUUGAUACACAGUUGAACCGUUUGAUGGUUUUGUAUAUGGUGGUGACGUUGUAUCUGGAUUGAAGAAUGUCAACUUAUGUGCUGCAUUCAAGGCUGGGAAGAACGAACAUAUAUGGAUGAUUUAAGAUGAUUAUCUCGAAUAAGUCUAGCCAAAGUUCAUGACAUUAGCUGCGUUUAUUAUGGGUGAUCCCAUAGCAGAUUUUUCUCAACUGUGGAUUGCUGAGAGUUGCUGAUGUGAAUAGUUUUGAUUCAUUAUGAAUUGGAUGCUUAUUAUGUCAAUAAGGUAGUAUUAAUUAUGUCAUGUCAUGUAGGUUGUAAGAUCAGGUAUAUCCUACUGUUGAGUACAGAAGAUUGGUUUUAUUGGUAUUAGGUGCACCACCAGGACCAGCAACAACAUGCACCAUUCCGGUUUCAGGUAAAGAUGUGUUGCACAACCAAGACAGAGGGGGAUAUAGGGCUUAUGUUUAUUAAUAUCUACAACACCUCCGAUAAAGAAUCCCCCAACCGAUUGGUAGAGCAAACUGCUUCAGGAACUUCAAGCAUUGAAUGCAAUCAUGUACCAUAGGGCUAUGUAAGUGCUGGGUUAUGUUGAUAGUUAAUUUCCCAUGGAAGAUGAAGUUGAAUAAAAGAGAGGGUUAUAGAAUGGUUGCUGAUACACUUACGGAUGGAAAAGCAAAACAUAAUCAUCUUGGCUUAUCGAUCCUGUUCUUAUUUAAGCGUGCAAAAGUAUAGAAAACCUUUGAAACUGUGCGAGGGUCAGGAUUGGAGCUAUCAAAACAUUGGGGGUUAAAGCUCUGAUCUUCUUAGCCUCUAGCCUUCUCAAGAGAAAGGUCUGUCCUACUCUAUUGAAGAUUUUUCUGCUCUUUUGUGAACGGGUUCACACUCUUAUAAUGGAUGGGUGCAAGAGUAUAGAAAACCUUUGAAGCUUUGCGAUUGUAUUAUCUACGAAGUGCUGCAACUUUGUGGAGAAUCCUAUUUAGUUUCGAAACAUGUCUAUCAGAGGUAAAUCCUAUUACUUUAUGCAAGGACCUAAAGCCUGUGGCUGCCAAACUGAAACUGACAGGCAUAUCAGCAAACUGUGGGUGUAUGGAUUUCAUGUCAUGUAAUGAAGUUACCAGCAAGGUUCCUCAGAAUGUAUGAAUUGCCAUAUGUUUUACUACUCCGUGGACUGUUCCAGUUAAGACUUAUGUUGAAUCUAUCCCAUGUCGUGUUUAGGGCUUCGAGGUACUAAUGUUUUCUACGGAUUCUCAACAGGUAUACUAUAUUCUGUGGUAAUUAUCGCAUGACUUUAUCAUCUCCACUCUUCAAUGUGAAGUUCGCUUGGAAUUUUUCUAUUUUUUUGUUGUUGCAGUAAGGGCUUAUAUCUGUUCUUCAUAGAGUUUGCAGAGAAGGUUCGUAUGCAGGGUAUGACCAACUAAAAUUAAGCAUUGCUCUCUUUUGUAGUCUGGGUCAUACUUAUCACGGAUUGACAUGUUGUAAAGGGUAUACUAUAGACAAUUGAUUCUGAUGGAUAUUCGAUAGUUGAUUACAUAGUUGCUGAUGUGAAUAGUUUUGCCUAAAUUGAUUCUGAUGGAUAUUCGAUUGCAUUUGCCUUCUACCGGCUAUCUGAUGUGAUUUUUUGGUUUUUGUUUUUCUGUGCAGGUGCCCGCAUUCAUUGGUUUACUUGCCCCGACGACUUAGGUUACCACAAAUCAUGAGCUGAUGACAGCUCAUCGUCGUCGGCUCAAUGAAGUCCAUCCUGCGAUCUUAUGCUUAUUGUCAGAAGUCAGAACCCGUCAUGUAUUGCCAUUGCUUUCUAUUCGUCACUUUGGGAAAAGCAGUCCAUGAAAAAAUAGAAUGAUGAUGAUACUCACGGCUAUGGGGAGUUUUGUUGGAGUUGUUUCGGAGAAUGGGAGCCAUGAAACUAUGUAAUUUUGGAAACUCCAUUGUGGGGUGUGAUUGUUAAUGCACUAGAGUUUCCAGUAUUACAUAGUUUGAUGGUUUCUCAAUCAAAAAAAGCUCUUUCGAAGCAAUUGUUGAUAAUGCAUCUCGGAUAAUGCAUGGCUUAGGGCUGCCAGUGAGUUGGAAUCAUAUGGAGCAGUCUGGCGUUGAUAAUUCAAAUUGCACAUGAAAGGUAACGUCUGUAUGACUACGGAAGAGGUGAUAGAAGAAUGCAAGUUUUUCUAUUUCUUACAUAGAAUAUUAUAGUCUUGAGCAUGCAUCAAGAUUGGCAAGAGAAUGCCAGAGAAGAGGUCAUAAGAAUCUGUGGGAAAAAACCACCUCAGUUUGAAAGUCUGGCCCAUCUAAAGACUGUAACCAUGAUCCUAUAUGAAGUUCAGAGCAAAAUAGCUGCAUUCAGAAAUUGGAUUUAGAAAAACAAUUUCGUGAGUCUGUAGACAGCUAUGCACGUUGGUCUUGGUCUCAGACAGAUAUGCACGUUCCAAGUUGUACCUCAUUGUAGCAAAUUUUCUGAUGGUUUUCUGAACAAGGGAUCUUUAGUUGUUGCUUUCAGAUUAAAAUCAAUGGCAGUUAUAAUCUUCGCGAGUAAUGAAUCGUGGGGUUGGAUAUAUGAACCGAGAAAUUGUGGUGUUUGGUACGAUAUUAAGAAGAAAACUAAUGUUCUCUGUGUGGAGUUUACAGCAAGGUGAUGCAGUGAUGGUGGUGCUGCAAUUUACGAAAUCUGUUCUGUUGUUGGUCUGAGAUGGAUGCAGUCAAGGGUUUCGGUGGAAUUUGAGAUGUUGAUGUUGUUGACAGGGUUGCUACGAAAUUUAGAGAAUGGAGAAGAGAAGUACAAUUUGAUGGGACUGGGUCUGUUUGGUGUUCUGUAAACAUGGAAAAACAGGGAAGUUGAAAUUGGCAGCGAGAAUUUGAACAAAGAGCAACCACCAUUUCACAACCAUCAGGAAAUUAGCCAUAAACCUGGAAAACAAGUUCGAAGCCUUUUUUGUUUGAUCAAAUUACUUGGACAAACUUCAGUAUGAGGUUUUGCAUAUAUCGAUUUUAAUUCUCCGAGCAGCAUGCAAAAGGUUUUUAGUUCCGCCAGUUAACAUAUGUUGCCAAAACUGGGUUUGAGUUGGGCAGGCAGUGUCGAUCAGAAGGCUGUGGAAAUUAUGUUUUUUUUAUUAUUGAUUUUGGAUUGCCGUUUAUAGAACCAGUCUCCAGACUGGAAAAUCUGACUUGAUAAAGCUACUUAAUGGUCUUAAAUUUGCUUCGUCUGUUAUGUGAUCAACAAAUGUUCUUACA